rnacentral:misc_RNA from 1 species
GAUGAAGAACGUAGCGAAAUGCGAUAAGUAGUGUGAAUUGCAGAAUUCAGUGAAUCAUCGAAUCUUUGAACGCACAUUGCGCCCCUUGGUAUUCCAUGGGGCAUGCCUGUUCGAGCGUCAUUUGUACCUUCAAGCUUUGCUUGGUGUUGGGUGUUUGUCUCGCCUUUGCGUGUAGACUCGCCUUAAAAUAAUUGGCAGCCGGCGUAUUGAAUUCGGAGCGCAGUACAUCUCGCGCUUUGCACUCAUAACGACAGCGUCCAAAAGUACAUUUUACACUCUUGACCUCGGAUCAGGUAGGGAUACCCGCUGAACUUAAGCAUAUCAAUAAGCGGAGGA